rnacentral:rRNA from 1 species
AUUGAACGCUGGCGGCAUGCUUUACACAUGCAAGUCGAACGGUAACAGGCCGCAAGGUGCUGACGAGUGGCGAACGGGUGAGUAAUGCAUCGGAACGUGCCCAGUCGUGGGGGAUAACUACUCGAAAGAGUAGCUAAUACCGCAUACGAUCUAUGGAUGAAAGCGGGGGACCGUAAGGCCUCGCGCGAUUGGAGCGGCCGAUGUCAGAUUAGGUAGUUGGUGGGGUAAAGGCUCACCAAGCCAACGAUCUGUAGCUGGUCUGAGAGGACAACCAGCCACACUGGGACUGAGACACGGCCCAGACUCCUACGGGAGGCAGCAGUGGGGAAUUUUGGACAAUGGGCGCAAGCCUGAGCCAGCAAUGCCGCGUGCAGGAAGAAGGCCUUCGGGUUGUAAACUGCUUUUGUACGGAACGAAACGGCUCUGGUUAAUACCCGGGGGUAAUGACGGUACCGUAAGAAUAAGCACCGGCUAACUACGUG